CGGAGUUCAGUCUUCCCAGGCCCACCACUUUGAUCGAGUGCGGAGCAUUCGUCUUCUGGUUACGGGGCCAUAGCUCAGCUGGGAGAGCGCGUGCUUUGCAAGCAUGAGGUCGUCGGUUCGAUCCCGUCUGGCUCCACCAGCCUUCGCUGGCUGAAGCCAGCUACGGCUAGGCGAGCCUGAUCAGAGCGAAGGCUGCCACGGCGAAGCUCGAAGAGCGAAGCCGGGCUGGCGCCGGGUAGAACCAAAUCGUCCGCGAAACAUCACUUCGCACUCACGAGUCCGGAUGGACAGUGACGUGCGUGUUUUCUGACAUCGUAAAGAGGAGAUCGAUCCGAGUUUGGAUCAAGCGAAGCAAUUCGCCUGACCCAUUCACUAUCUCCGGGAUCAUUUCGGCGCUCGCUUCAGUCGUGAGAUUGAAUGCGGGUUGUAAAUGAUCCUUUGUUAGCGAAGCUUGACCGCCUCGCUAUCGGGCCGAUCUUACGAAGCAAGCUGGUCUUUCUAGUCAAUGUCCGGCUGUGACAAUCGCAUUCAUCGAGGAUGCGCGCCUUCAAUGGCAGUUGCACAGACAACAUUCUGCCGAGUGUGUGGACAUUGAUAAUGAGAGCAAUCAAGUGCCUUAAGGGUGUUCGGUGGAUGCCUUGGCGCUGAGAGGCGAUGAAGGACGUGCUACGCUGCGAUAAGCCGUGGGGAGCUGCGAAGAAGCUUUGAUCCGCGGAUU
rnacentral:misc_RNA from 1 species